UCGACAAGACCGAUGGCCGACGGGAAGACAGGAUUUCCGGCCCACGACGUUGAGCGACGUGACGUCAGCAGUGGGGAGGUGCCCGGGAACGAGGCUGGAGACAACCACGAGUUCAUCGUGCGCCUUCGGGACGACCGCCCUCCGAGGUCACUGAGAGGAGACGCCAUCUCCCCGCGUAAGGCUCCAAAGUCUUCUUGACUGGACUUUGUGCUCUAAAGGCGCUGAGAAAAACGACAAAACUUUUUUUGAACAUGUUCGUGCUACACCUUUGAUCCCUUCACUGUUAGAAUGUGACAUAGACUGCUACCACACACGCGCAUUAUCCAACACGUUCUCCAUGCAAAAGCCCAGAGAGGAGGACAAUAAUAUCACCACCACAUUGACAGGAAUAAGCAUCACUUCCCUUAAGAAAUAUUUCUUUGGGUGUUUUUUUUUUUUUUCCAAAACUUUGUACUUCUCGCUGUAAGUAGCAGUGUAUUUAAGUAGGAAAUAGCCUCGAGUUCUAGAAAAGUAAUACUUCAGCUCUUCUAAAAGGCUAUGUACCCUAUGUAUUCUAAAUAUCUAUGUACACUCUUCCUUAAGUUACUGUGUACCGUGUCUAACAUUACCUGGUGGUACUGAGCAGCAAUCACAGAGGAGGAGGAGAAGAGGAGGAAAAAGAAAAAGAUUUAUUACGAAAAUGCUGAGCCCCAUGAAUCACCAGAAAAAGUUCAACUGGCAGCAGCACCUCCAUCAGCGAGCGAACAACAGUCAGGGACACAUUUGUACAUCGAUGUUGCUGCUGUCACAGACUACGGAGUCUUCUUAAACUGGUACGGUAACAGUUCCGGAAUCACGGAAGAAGAGAAAACACAGGAUGUCUUGGACAAGUUGCCUGAGUACUACGCCUUCAUGUUCUCCGGGGUGAAUAUGCUGUAUGAGGGCAUCAACAGCUCUUUGUUGUCCUACACCCUGC